UUGGAUAUUUUUACUGUCCAAGGGGAGGAAAUGUGGCAGACUUGAAACCUAUCUAGAAGGUGGUGACACAGCUGCUUGUGAUUUGCUGUCAAAGCCACAUUAAACCACCACACCGUGUCCCUCUAUUCAUGGAUCAUGGGUGGAAGAUAGCAGUGCAACCACGUGCCAUAACCUUGUCUCUGUUGGAAUUCCAGAGCCCUCCUUAACCGGCUUUCAGUGAACCCCGUCGUGCCCCUGCGUGCUGCGCGUCGGCCGUCGUCCCUGCAGGAGCCUCUUCCAUGGCGCCUAGUUUUCUUCCCAUGGCGAGCUCGCCCAAGAAAUCACCCCCAUCGCAGCUCGCCGUGUCUGCGCAGCCCCGACAGUGACGAUGUCCAUCCCGUUCGGUGCUCUAGGUGUUCGACGAAAUGGGAGAACCAUGAAAUUGUCGUCGUUUCUCAUCCGCGACCCCGCCAGUCUUGUAUGCAGUCCACAUAUUGUGUUCCUCAUCGGUUAUAAUUUUGUUCUAUUGUGGAUGGUGCUAAGUGCCGGUGGGCUCGGCCUUCUUCUAUAAGUAUAUCCCGUCUUUAGCUUCUUUAUUGAGGAUUGUCACUUAAGCUAGCAUAUAUUUUAAAACUUAUAAAUGCUUUAUACAUUCAAAUUGUAAUCUUUUUGAAUCAAUUUCUAUUGUAAUCAACUUCGAUGAUAUAUAUUGUAAUCUUGUUAUAACUUGUAAAUGUUGUAACUUGUAACCAUUUUGUAAUAAAAAAUUUCCGCUGCAAAUGUUGGUGUGUGAUUUGUGUUUACUUAAUCUUGCGAUCUUGGCGGUAAGUCGUUUAUCCGGGGUCCUUGGGGCACUCGGACAGAUCCUGUUAAGUUAUUUGGUGCACAUGCAUAGUCGUUUGAGGUCCUUGGAACGAGGACAGGUGCAUGUGGGCCUGAUAACUUGGGAGGUUCUGCGACAGCUGGUAUCGGAGCUGAAUUAAGUAUAUACGGUCACAUACAUAUUUUUAAAAUAAAGUUUUGGUUUCGAAAACCUAUUUUCAACUAAACACAUUGUUUGGUUUUGAAAAACAGUUUUGAAAAAACUAUAAUGCUAGCGACAUCCUCUAUUAAGCCCUAAAUUAAGGACUACUAGGUGGCUUAGUUCAGAAUAUUAACCCACAACCUGGGAAGGGUAAUGCAUACAUGUGUAAUGUUAUUUUUGAGGCCAUUCAGUUUUGAAUGGAUCGACGCUCAGGUAAGGUGAGAUGUGAGAGUAUGACCGAACAAACGUCGGUCUAGGGAAGAGUAUAAAAAGCGCUUGAUUAUAUACAUGUUACACAUAUGUAUAUAUGAAGGCUGCGAUGUGGAGUAUUUACUUUUCCGGGAAUCGGUACCCCAUGGAUGUGUAUGGGUAUACAGACAUGGGAAUACCGAGAAGUGUAAUGUAUUUGCAACGACGCACCUAUGCUCAGGUAAGAAGGUGAGUUACCAUAAUGAGCUGCCCUAUGGUUAAAGUGUGGCAGCGGCGCCUAUGCGUGGCUCGGCGCUUAAUGAGGAGCUGGCCUCCAUAUAGCAAUAUAUGGAGUAUAAACUGUGAUAAACUGUCAUGUGUGAAUUGCAUCAUUGGGAAUUGGGCUGUGAUGGAUUUUUCUGCAGGUACACUAACUUCGAACUCGUAUGUGUAGCUGACGACUAGCAAUAUAUCGAGAGAGACGUAAUUAUGCCACCGAUAUAGAACGCUAUUGCCACAUUAUGUUGGUGAAAUUCGUGAGGACGAAUAGGACGAGCAUGCAUCCUGAUUGUUGCAUUGUGUUUGUUGUUUGCGCAAGAAAUGCUUCCCUCACCUUUAUUCUAAUAAUAGGUGAUUGUUUUUAUUCUAAUAAUAGGUGAUUGUGAAGGAACAUGCUUUUCUCAUCUUUAUUCCGACAAUAAAUAAUUGGAAACUGUAUGAAGUAUUACUGUUUUAUAAGCAAUUUCUAGCUUUGUUUGUUGCGUCCUUUAGACAUGUGUUUAUGUGGCAUGUGAUUCUUCUUAGUUUGACCGCUAGUGCAACUUGGGUUUGUUUUCGUGCUUGUGUGCUGGUAGAAUGCAGGUAGUUUGUUUGCAUAAACCCAAAGCUAGGUCAUGUCCCUGUUUAGUGAACCUUAAUCUAACUUUAUAUUAAUUUCUUGACAACCUAUCCUAGAUGUCGUCUUGUGUGAAGAUCAUUUUCUUCACAAGAUUAUUGGAGUUCUAGCAAUUAGACCAAGUCAUGUCCUCAUCAUCUCAACAUUUGAAAUUGUAUGAGAUCUAAUUCAUAAUUUUGUCAUUUCUUCAAAGCCUCUCUAAAUCUUCCAACUCCAUGGCCAAACUCGUGCAAAUAGAUGUUUCAGUAAUCCCCUUGUUGGAGAUGCACUCAAACUUAAAAACAAGGAUCUCGAGUCUGUAAUCUUGACAAUCCACUUGUAGCUCUCUUAUGGUCAAAUGUUCAUCCUAAACCAUACCCUUGUUCGGUUGGUGCAAGCUGGUAUUCCUGUUCCAAUUUGCCUCUCCUUGAGGAUCACUACAUUGAUAUUUUCUCAAACUUUUAUCAUCUUCCUUAAACUUGGAUUCCCUGGCUAACCACGAGUUAACUGUGAUGUUAUUCGACAUUCAUCCUCGUCUUAUGUGCUAGGAAUUUCCAAUGACCACUUGUUGGUAAACCUCUUUCUGUGUGUUUUACCCAAGAGGUUGCAUCUUUCAUGGUUUGUGUAAUUGCUAUCCAUUUGUCCACCGUUCUCAACAGACCCAGAUAGUACAGUGUCAUUAGAAAAAGAAAACUGCACACAUGGAACCUUAUGUGUUUUCUGUCAGUUAUAGCUUGUUUGUUGACGUCUCUAGUCAAACUAAAGUGGUAUGUGCUAUACCCACUAGAGAAGCAACAUUUUGAGAUGCUCGUCUUUGCUUGGAAUUAGUUUAUGCUAUCACUAUUAUGGACAGGGUUAUACGCCUCUCUACUCUUAGAAGUCUUUCGUUCUGAAUCUCGGGACGAGAUUCUUUUAAGGGGGGAAGGCUGUAACACCCCAGGUGUUUAUCGUCUACUCGACCACGAGUGUGGACGUUAACACGUGAUAGCUGUGAAUGUAAGUGGACACUACAUUUUAAUCAUCUUUGUCUAUCACGAUUUUGAUAUCGUGUUUGUCUCCAUCUGUUUAAAUUGUCCUAAUUUAUUUUGUAAAAAUCCUGACUUUAGUAAUCUUCCGAAAUAUUGAAUCCAAUAUUGUUUGGGUUGAGCCAUCGACGUCUUACCUAAACUAUAAUUUUUGAAAUCAAAUGUAGCUCCUUAAAAUUCGUUUGAAAUUCUUUCAUGCUUGCGUUGCACAUGUCUAUCUGUGGCCAGACAUCGUGACACGCGUGGCGUGUGCAAAUCUGUGGGCGGCUGUGCAUAACUUCUUGCCUACGAUUUGCGACACGUAACAUCGUUUCUGUGAAGUUUCGCAGACGCAUCUUAUCUCCCUGCCGUUAUCCCUUUCGUUUAUCUGAAUCGGCCACCGCUCCAACUCCUCACCACGUGUCGUGCCUUCCGUCACUCCACUGCCGCGUGUCCGGCAUGUUAGCGUCGUGGUGGUUCUUGGGCUCGCGGGCUGUUGUUGUGCUUAUCUUCUAGAGUUUUCAGUUAUACCUCGUUUAGAUCUUAGUUUUGGUUCAACUAAAAAUAGUUUGGUUUAUCUAUUUUAGAUCCCUGUAUUUUUUUAAAAAAUCUGUGGGCUUUUAGCAAAAGGUUGCUAUAGUAAAAUUGUAGAGUAACUAUAGGAGAACAACUUUUAUUAAGUGUUGAAGCCCUAAGUCCAUAUGGAACUAUUAGAGAACUUGACCCAAAAGUCCUAUCCUCAAAUCUGAAUUUUCAGACUUAGUGAUAUUUCUGGGUUCUGAACUUUUAUGCCUAAGCCAACUUUGAAGCCCUUUUAUUAUUCAGUCCAUUGGGUUUUAGCUUAGGACCAUUAUAUCAAAAUGGUAGAGGAUCUAUGAAUGUGCAACUUUGUUGAAGGGAGAUGGACUCAGUACUACAUAAAAAGUGGAGUUACUGACCCCUAAAGAUAGGCUGUCAGACGUCCUUAAUUUUUCAGAUAAGGAAGAGUGAACAGAUCUGAAUUCUAGUGUUUGGUUUAAAUUUGGAGCUAUAUGGUGACUGUUCUGGACAGUUUUGGACUGGGAUCUUUAUAGAAAAGUUGAAGAGUACAUAUUGGUGUACAAGUUUACUUAACAAUGAUUAACUUGGUACCAUAUAAAAUAAAUAGUUAAGUACCCUUAAAGUUGCCUUAACAGUCUGCAAUUUCUGGGUUCAGUUUCAGAAAACUGCAAUGUGGUUUCUGUGUGAUCUGCCUCACUUUGGAGAUCUAUAACUCGAAACCUGUAAGGUAUUGACUCUGAAAGUCUACAACAAAUUAAAAGACCAAUGUUCAGGGAAUAAAUUUGAUGUGGAGAGGUAGCUCUGUCAUUAUAAAGAAAUUGGAGAAACGGAGGGGACAAGGUGGUUGUUGCUGUCGACUGAACUAGAUCAGGCAGUUUGAAAAUAUCUCAGGAAAAAGAUCUGCAUCCACUAGCUGUUUCCAGAUGACUUUGGAUAAGUGCAAAACAAUAAGAAUUUCGUUCUGGUAAAAAGGGGGGUCACGUUGGAUAUUUUUACUGUCCAAGGGGAGGAAAUGUGGCAGACUUGAAACCUAUCUAGAAGGUGGUGACACAGCUGCUUGUGAUUUGCUGUCAAAGCCACAUUAAACCACCACACCGUGUCCCUCUAUUCAUGGAUCAUGGGUGGAAGAUAGCAGUGCAACCACGUGCCAUAACCCUGUCUCUGUUGGAAUUCCAGAGCCCUCCUUAACCGGCUUUCAGUGAACCCCGUCGUGCCCCUGCGUGCUGCGCGUCGGCCGUCGUCCCUGCAGGAGCCUCUUCCAUGGCGCCUAGUUUUCUUCCCAUGGCGAGCUCGCCUAAGAAAUCACCCCCAUCGCAGGUGUUCGACGAAAUGGGAGAACCAAGAAAUUGUCGUCGUUUCUCAUCCGCGACCCCGCCAGUCUGGUAUGCAGUCCACAUAUUGUGUUCCUCAUCGGUGAGGCUUGCUGUUCAUGACUUGGUACCUACAUCUUUAUAUUAACCAUAUAUGAGUUUCUGUGUUUGAUGUGGACUGAAAUCCUUAGCGUUUUGGGGAGAGGAACCCCAGGGUUUGGGUGAUGAAGAAAAGGUUUGUGCACAUCACUUGCAAGAGGUUCGAUAGAAAACUUCAAUCAAAAGGCUAUCGUCGUUCGUGUGAAUAUUGAGUUGAGUUGAAUUGUGAUGUGGCGAGCCAUUUCGCUACUCUAUUUAGUUAAUUUGAUUGUUGUAUUGAUUAGAGUUGUGGCCGAUGAUUUUCUUGUCUGUAGUGUAAGCAUAUUGUGUGUCGACUUUCAGAUCCAUCGUUGUCCAUAUGCGCGAUAGUUGGUAAAUGAACAUGUCAAGGGGGGAGGGUAAAUUGCCAAAUUUCCACACGUUAGGGCUCUAGUGGGUUAUUCAAGUAGUUAUGGUCCUUUUAGCUCAUCUAAUUGGUAAUAUGUAUGCUGUGUUAUAUUAGAUGGUUUUUAAGUCUACUUUAAGAUAAGGUGUUAGUAGUAUUUGAAGUACUAAGCACAUGACAGUUGUAGAAGCCAAAUAGGAGCUAAAUUGAAUAUAUUACUGUUUAGAGCUAUAGGUACAAUUUUAAUUGCGCAGCUAAUUUAACAAAGCAAACCAUGUUUUCUGUAGACAUGUUAUAUAGGAAAGUUGUAGCUCACUUCUUUAUCUUGCUUGUGUAAAAAUUUCAUGACCAUAGACUUAGCAGUUUAGAAGUUAUGAUUUUCCUAAGUCCAGUUUCAGAAUCUGUCCAGAUUCUGUACUGAUUUCGAAAAUUGCUUUGUUUGACUAAAUUAAACUUAGAAUCAGCCCUUAGUAAUAAUAGAAGAAUUGUAAUACUUUUCUUAAGAUUUCCAACAGAUUUUGGAUCACCCUUUUUGGUGAUUUAUAAAUUAAGUUACAGCUGUUUGAGUUAGUAUCUCUGAAUCUGUACAAAUCUGAUCAGUAAUGUUUGUUUGUAUUAACUGACUUCGAUACACAUUGAAUCACCUUGAGAUGAUUAUAAAUGAAUUGUAGACAAUUCUAUUAGCUUUCUAAAAAGUCUAGGAUCACCUGAUUUGGAUGUCUGAAACUCCAGUUAUGGAAUUUUAAAGUGAGUGGCCGAAUUCUGUCCAAAUCUGGACAGAAAUUGCGUUUAGUACUGUUUGACAUUUCUAUAUGUCGAAUCUCAUUGUGAUGAUAAUACCAAAAUUGUAGAGGACUUUAUAAGCUUUCCAAAAAGUCUUAGUUUAUUAUUUUUUGAUGAAUAUUGUGUAAGUUAUGAAUAAAACAACUAGCUGCUGUUCUGCUGUACAAAUUCAGCAAAUAUGAAAUGAUUACUUGGAGUUUCUUUUGUGAGGAUACUUAUAUUUGGUUAGUUCUUGUCUUGAUUAAUGAAGUCUUGUAGUGGCAAAUGGUUGUUUCUUUUCUUUCUUAAUGCUUGCUUUAGACUUUAGCAUUUUGGAGAAGGAAGUAAAUGCCUUGGUGAAUGUAUUUGAGUAGUGACUAUUUAGGCCUUGUAUGUGCAUAAUGAAAUAGUAAUGCAAGUAGUAAAAUUUAUCACUUCUCUCGUCUAUCCGUGAUGUUACCCUUUAUUGCUUAUAGUCUUACAAAUGUCUAUGAUCUUGAUAAUGUUUACUUGCUUGAUCGAAUGAUUGUAAUAAUUUGUUUGGUUGAUGUGUUAUGCCUAAUAGGUUAGAUUAGUAGUUCUAAGAACUAGUUGAAAUACUUCUAUUCAUAAACCUAAAUUAAGUAUCCGAAAUUGAUAAGUCUACAAGUAGUAACCUAUCGAUGUUAUGCUUUAGCCUAAGGCUUGUGUUUAGUUAUGUUGCCUAAUGUUUGAAUUAGGUUCGAUUAACUCGAGGAUCAUGAUUGUGUAGAUUUUCUCUCAUGUUUGAUUAUGUAUGUUGGUGAGAUCUUGCCUGUAAUAUUGAGUUUUCUUCCUUGUGACAUUGUUUAGUCUUAUUAUUCCUUCCUAUGUUCAUACAUGUGCAUUAUGCAUAUCAUUUAGGUACACUAAUUGAUCACGUGAUAUGGAGGACAAGAGAUGGAUUAAUCACAAGACGAUGCUAAUGGACGGAGCUAAAGUGGAUGAAUCAACCAAGUGCCGGGACGGAAGAUGCUCACCAAGUGGUCAUCAUUUAACAACACUAACGUAGUGUUUAUCCCAG